UAGCUGCCAUAACUCCGAGCUUUGGUCACUACGUUUUCUGUUUUUCUUAAAUCAGAAUAUAUGUGUUCAGAGCCAGUGACAUACUGUCACCAGGGUCAAUUUAGAAAUGAAUCGGCCUCCCGUAUUUGGAAAGGUGUUCCAUGGCGCAACAA
rnacentral:ncRNA from 21 species